rnacentral:lncRNA from 1 species
AAGCAGUACGAAUUUGUCUUUGAAAGGGACAGUAUUGUUCGACAGUCUUUCAUAUUCGAGACGCGAUAGUGGGAACGUGCUAGCAAUUAGCAACGUUUGAGCAAUUAGUAAGAAGUGCUAGUUGCUAGAUAAAAUAUAAAAUCUGGUUAUUCGAAAGUUGACUUGCAAUUUUCCAUAAAAUGGAGUUGUUCGGGGAUGGGUCAUACGGCAACCGGAUAGAUUAUUUCACACGUGGAAAAUCCUCCCCUGAUGCACUUCGUGAUACAUAAAGGAGCUUAUUCCAGUAACACAAUUCUUCAUUAAUUCUCUUCCAUGCUGUUAUGGUAAGCUUUUUUCCUUACUUCUUUUUGAUUGUCUACUAUUGCUGUAUUAUUUGCCAUAAUGUCUGCAUUUUUAUCGCAAAGUGCAUUAUUUCAUUUAGGAAAAAUGAUACAGUACAUUCAUUCGUUAUCUUUCCUAUUUAUGAACCAAAAAUUAUAAAUGUAAAAAAACAAACCUCAGUUCUCAGAUUCUGUUGCAAUUCAUUACAAUUAGAUAUGGAUAUGAUUUGAAUAAUGUACCGGGUCUGAUAUGUACAAAAUCGUUAAAAAUUUUCAAUUUUUAAAUGUAUUUUAUAUGUGGAUAUUUUAUUAUACAUAGAAAUUUAUUAUACAUAGAAACCUAACCUCAAUAUUUAACCAAUAGCGAAACAGUAAGAGGUAGAAUAUCUCACGUGAGAUUG